rnacentral:rRNA from 1 species
UACGUAGGGUGCGAGCGUUGUCCGGAAUUAUUGGGCGUAAAGGGCUCGUAGGCGGUUUGUCGCGUCGGGGAGUGAAAACUCAGGGCUUAACCCUGAGCCUGCUUCCGAUACGGGCAGACUAGAGGUAUGCAGGGGGAGAACGGAAUUCCUGGUGUAGCGGUGAAAUGCGCAGAUAUCAGGAGGAACACCGGUGGCGAAGGCGGUUCUCUGGGCAGAUACUGACGCUGGAGACGCGAAAGCAUGGGGAGCAAACAGG